rnacentral:rRNA from 1 species
CAGUCGCCGCGGGAAUACGGAGGGUGCAAGCGUUAUCCGGAUUUAUUGGGUUUAAAGGGUCCGUAGGCGGACUUAUAAGUCAGUGGUGAAAGCCUGUCGCUUAACGAUAGAACUGCCAUUGAUACUGUAAGUCUUGAGUAUAUUUGAGGUAGCUGGAAUAAGUAGUGUAGCGGUGAAAUGCAUAGAUAUUACUUAGAACACCAAUUGCGAAGGCAGGUUACCAAGAUAUAACUGACGCUGAGGGACGAAAGCGUGGGUAGCGAACAGGAUUAGAUACCCCUGUAGUCCCUGUCUCUUAUAC